CUAAACCCUAAAAUCCUAAACCCUAAACCCUAAAAUCCUGAACCCUAUACCCUAAACUCCAAACCCCAAACAAAAAACCUAAGUCAUAAAAUCCUAAAUCCUAAACCCUAAACCCUAAACCCUAAAACCCUAAAUCCUAAACCCUAGACCCUAAACCCUAAAUCCUAAAAUUUGAAACCCUAAAUCUUAAACCCUAAAUCCUAUAUCCCAAAACCCUAACCCCAAAACACUAAAAUCGAAAAUCCAAAUUUCAAAACCCAAAAUGCUAAAUGCCUAAAUCCUAAACCUUAAAAUCCUGAACCCUAAACCAUAAACCCUGAUCCUAAAUCCUAAUCCGAAAUCGUAAACCCUAAAUCCUAAUACCUUAAAACCCUAAAACCCUAAACCCUAAGCCCAAAAUACUAGACCCUAAACCCUGAUAUCCUAAACCCUAAACCCUAAAUCCAAAAACCUUAAACCUUAGACCCUGAACCCUAAUCCCUGAACUCCA
rnacentral:lncRNA from 1 species